GUAACACCCGAAGUCGGUGAGGUAACCUUUUGGAGCCAGCCGCCGAAGGUGGGACAGAUGAUUGGGGUGAAGUCGUAACAAGGUAGCCGUAUCGGAAGGUGCGGCUGGAUCACCUCCUUUCUAAGGA
rnacentral:rRNA from 1 species